rnacentral:tRNA from 1 species
ACUGUUUUGGCAGAAAAUGCCGUAAAUUUAGAAUUUACUCAUGAAUUAUAUUCAAACAGUA